UUAAGAAUAGUGUCCCAAAUAGUUCUGAUAAACUUCAAAACUUCUACUCAAAGAAAAGGAGUUAUUGGAAAACAUUUCUGAGGCCAGAGAGAAUUCUGUAUUUAUUAACAGGCAAAGUUCAAAAGAUUAAUCAUGCAGAGUCUUUGAUAUUUCAUCUUGCAAAAGAAUAAUCCUGAUAAGAAAAAUGUUUUGGCAAGAGCACCCUCACUGUUGAACACGUGAUGGUUACUCUGGAAGAGGCAACAAGAUCUAACUUGUUGAAAUGGCACUGCAAAGGCAGAAGAAAAGCAGGUUUUACUGAACACUGGUUCUAGACACUUCUUGGACUACCUCUGACACAGCACCAGUGGGAGCAAUGAAAAUAGAAAAGCCAUCUUGUUCCUGCCAUUUAUUUUUCCUCUUUCUCAUUCCUGCUGGUUUUAACAUUGGAAAAGGAAUCUCUAGGGGGAUCAUAAGGCCAUUUGUCUCUGAAUAAUGAGAACAACAGGCAGCACCGUGAAAAGCCACACUGGGGGAAAAGAAAUCCAAACCACAAGCCAUCAAGGUUGAAUUCACUCAUAUGGGAGCCUUGUACUUCUUUUAAUACUUCAGUGAACAAAAUGAAGGAGGCACCCAGAGAAGUUGUGGAUGCUCCGUCAUUAGAAGGAGAUGAAAAGUUUCCACUAAGCUGUGCCCUGCAGACUCCAGGAUGGUGCUGGAACCAUGAAAGCAAGAGGAACACAAAGCAAUACACAGCAAUGGCAGUGCUGAACAUGUCACUGCCUAGGAGUAAAAUUAGAGGACCUGCACAGACUACCUGAAAUUUACCCUAAAACAAGAUUGCCUGAACAUGAUACUAAACUGUUGAAUUUUAUUUUGUGAGGCUUUUUUUGGUUAGUUUGUUGGGUUUUUUUUCAUUUAAAUGAAACAGCAACUCAAUAUUUUGAUUUCUCAAGAUCACAAACCGAAUGCCAUCACAAACUUUUAGCCAAAAUCUAAUUCAAGCAUCCACUGGCAGUGUAAUUUCUGUGUGAUAUGUGUUUGCUGUCAGAUACAAAGCAGAUUUCUGAAGAGCAAAGAGUGGUAAGAUAACUUGGUACACUGGUUACUUCAUCUGGCGUAAUUUCAAGGAAUGCAACUUUAAAUACCAGCCCAUUCAACACUACUAUCAAAGUUUUUCCUCCUAAACUUCCAGUUCCUGUAGAUAAAUGAGCAAAUCCCUUCAGGCUGAAAGGACCAUGAGAAUGAAGUCAGCCUGCUAAGCUGCUGCAGAAACCUGAAGGGCUCCAGGGACGAAAGGUUGGGGGGAAGUGAUGUGCUUUCCCACUCUCUGUGAGGGUGAUGCAAUGUGUUGUUAUCCAGCACUACUUUUUUUUUUUUUUCCUAUCUUCAGCUCAAGGGAUCAACAAACACACCUGAAAGCAAAAGGGAUGUGUUUAAACACAGGACAUGUGAACAGAUUCAAACCUCAGACUUAGAACAGGCAAGCAAAAAGACUGCAUAAGGGAAAAAGGAGGCAGUUGUAGUAAUUGCAAGGGCAAAACCAUGCAGAAUAAUGAAUCCAGCAAUAAAUUGCUGCCAGCACACACAGAUUUCCAGUUAAGUCUGUGGGCUGUUCCACUGCCAAGUCCUGCCUGUUGAGGGGGGCACAAUCAGGUAGAACAUUUUUUUAAGGAUUAAGUUCUCUUUCCAACUUGUCUUCUCUCCAUAUUUGGUUAUGCUGUGGUGUGAGUGUUUGGCUGCCUGGCUGGUGAGCCAAGAGGGCUGAUGCCUGUGUUUGCUUCUGCUGUAUACUCCCACUUGCAGCAGUUCCCCUCACAGCCCCACUGACUGGCUUCAUCACUCGAAGAUUUGAAUUGCUCAGGUCUGUAGCUGUUUGUUUUGCCAGUAGUGACUCAUGCUGCUCCAGUAUGGAUGAAAUAAAGUCAGAUGGAAACUCUGAAAGCUCCAUGUUAAAGUCAAAAUGUCAUACUCUGGAGGUAAAGAUUAUUCUUGCUGAAAAAAGGAGGAAGAAUCAGCCCUGGAACUCUUUAUAAUGACAAAUAAGGGCAAUACAUAAUAAGUUCUCUUUUAAUGCUCCUACAUUAAACAGAAAAGGAAGGACUUUAUUUGUUGUUUCCAUUCAAAAUGUUUUGGUAGAGAGCAAGGUGUCCGCCACCGGUUGUGCUUGGACCCUUUUCCACAGUUAAUCUCUGUGGAUCACCCUAAAACAAAGGAGUCAAGAAGCCCAAUUAAUGUAGCUCAGAAAGGGAGGAUACCUGGAGAAAAGAAGGCAUAGAUAGAUCCCUUGGUUGUGAAACCCUCAGUUAGGUGCCCCCCUCAGAGCCCAUUUGCAGCUGCUCCCAUCUCUUGGAGCAUCUGAGUGUACUUCCGGGACUAGAAGCCUCCUUGAGCAGUAUGGGGUUAGGCAAAAGCAAAGCUGGCUAAACCCCCUGUUGGGCACAUGCUCCUGCUUAUAAUUUUAAGUGAUUGUCUGGAAUUUAAUCUAUUUUUCAACUACAAUUAGCAUAAACUGGCACUUCCUCACCAUUAG